rnacentral:rRNA from 1 species
CUACACAUGCAAGUCGAACGGUAACAGGAAGCAGCUUGCUGCUUCGCUGACGAGUGGCGGACGGGUGAGUAAUGUCUGGGAAACUGCCUGAUGGAGGGGGAUAACUACUGGAAACGGUAGCUAAUACCGCAUAACGUCGCAAGACCAAAGAGGGGGACCUUCGGGCCUCUUGCCAUCGGAUGUGCCCAGAUGGGAUUAGCUAGUAGGUGGGGUAACGGCUCACCUAGGCGACGAUCCCUAGCUGGUCUGAGAGGAUGACCAGCCACACUGGAACUGAGACACGGUCCAGACUCCUACGGGAGGCAGCAGUGGGGAAUAUUGCACAAUGGGCGCAAGCCUGAUGCAGCCAUGCCGCGUGUAUGAAGAAGGCCUUCGGGUUGUAAAGUACUUUCAGCGGGGAGGAAGGCGAUAAGGUUAAUAACCUUGUCGAUUGACGUUACCCGCAGAAGAAGCACCGGCUAACUCCGUGCCAGCAGCCGCGGUAAUACGGAGGGUGCAAGCGUUAAUCGGAAUUACUGGGCGUAAAGCGCACGCAGGCGGUCUGUCAAGUCGGAUGUGAAAUCCCCGGGCUCAACCUGGGAACUGCAUUCGAAACUGGCAGGCUAGAGUCUUGUAGAGGGGGGUAGAAUUCCAGGUGUAGCGGUGAAAUGCGUAAGAUCUGGAGGAAUACCGGUGGCGAAGGCG